ACGCUGGCGGCAGGCCUAACACAUGCAAGUCGAGCGGUAGCACAGGAGAGCUUGCUCUCUGGGUGACGAGCGGCGGACGGGUGAGUAAUGUCUGGGAAACUGCCUGAUGGAGGGGGAUAACUACUGGAAACGGUAGCUAAUACCGCAUGACGUCGCAAGACCAAAGUGGGGGACCUUCGGGCCUCACGCCAUCGGAUGUGCCCAGAUGGGAUUAGCUAGUAGGUGAGGUAAUGGCUCACCUAGGCGACGAUCCCUAGCUGGUCUGAGAGGAUGACCAGCCACACUGGAACUGAGACACGGUCCAGACUCCUACGGGAGGCAGCAGUGGGGAAUAUUGCACAAUGGGCGCAAGCCUGAUGCGGCCAUGCCGCGUGUGUGAAGAAGGCCUUAGGGUUGUAAAGCACUUUCAGCGAGGAGGAAGGCGUUGUGGUUAAUAGCUGCAACGAUUGACGUUACUCGCAGAAGAAGCACCGGCUAACUCCGUGCCAGCAGCCGCGGUAAUACGGAGGGUGCAAGCGUUAAUCGGAAUUACUGGGCGUAAAGCGCACGCAGGCGGUUUGUUAAGUCAGAUGUGAAAUCCCCGAGCUUAACUUGGGAACUGCAUUUGAAACUGGCAAGCUAGAGUCUUGUAGAGGGGGGUAGAAUUCCAGGUGUAGCGGUGAAAUGCGUAGAGAUCUGGAGGAAUACCGGUGGCGAAGGCGGCCCCCUGGACAAAGACUGACGCUCAGGUGCGAAAGCGUGGGGAGCAAAC
rnacentral:rRNA from 1 species